rnacentral:lncRNA from 1 species
AGUUGUUUUUAUCCUGAACUUUGUGCAGAUGAGGAAAGAGAGGAGAGGGGUCAAAACAGAGGCAGCCUUCACUCCGAUCGUUUCUGCCCAACAUCCUGGUCACUACAGGAGAUGCAUUUUGACAAUGCCAGCACUUUUUGGAAUGCGCCCCCUGAGCCUGGGGCUGAUCAUCUUGUCUUCCCGCUCAGGACUCUGGGAGGUGGUCAGCUCUUCUUUGCUGGCAGUGUCUCUUGCCUUAUUGUGGGCAGCUGUGGAAGAGGCACCCAGACAAAAAAACCCCGAGUCUCUGCACAGAGAGAACAAGAGAAAUGGAGACUGAAAUGAAGCCAAGCCGCUCCCUGAUGGCCUGGUGUUGCCACCUAAAUGAGGACUUGAAGUUCCUAGAGGCUGGGCAGCAGACCAAAGCCCUCACUUACAGCACCCCCAAGGACAGUGUGCCUCCAUGUCCAUGGGCUCCACCUUUGAGGAUUCAAUCAACUGCAGAUGGAAAAUAUUUGGAAAAAAAAUGAGUUGCAUCUACAACGAACGUGUCCAGACUUUUCUUAUCAUUAUUCCCCAAGUAAUAUAAUAUAAACACUAUUAGCAUAGGAUUUACAGUGUAUGAGGUAUUAUAAGUAAUCUAGAUGUGCUUUAAAGUAUGCAAGAGGAUGUGCAUUGGGUAUAUAAAAAGUUACAUCAUUUUAUACAGGAGAUUUGAG